rnacentral:rRNA from 1 species
UAAGGAAUAUUGGACAAUGGGCGAAAGCCUGAUCCAGCCAUCCCGCGUGGAGGAUGACUGCCCUACGGGUUGUAAACUCCUUUUAUAUGAGAAGAAACGCCUGGAUUUAUCCGGGCCUGACGGUAUCUUAUGAAUAAGCACCGGCUAACUCCGUGCCAGCAGCCGCGGUAAUACGGAGGGUGCAAGCGUUAUCCGGAAUCACUGGGUUUAAAGGGUGCGUAGGCGGUUAGUUAAGUCAGAGGUGAAAGCCCGGCGCUCAACGUCGGAAUUGCCUUUGAUACUGGCUAACUUGAAUCAGGUUGAGGUGGGCGGAAUGUGGCAUGUAGCGGUGAAAUGCAUAGAUAUGCCAUAGAACACCAAUUGCGAAGGCAGCUCACUGGCCCUGCAUUGACGCUGAGGCACGAAAGCGUGGGGAGCGAACAGG